UUACACUUUAUUAAAUUAUGAAAUUUAAGUAAAUAACAGAAAUAGAUAACUUAUACUAACAGUAACAUAGGUUAAGUGUACAUUGUAAGUAGAACAUAAGUGUACAUAUAUGGUAACUAGGAAAUAAGUGUACAUAUAUGAUAACUAGGCAAAUAAGUGUAAAUAUAGACAUAGAUAAGAAAAAUAAUAAUGUUAGAAUUUAGAAAGCAAUUAUGUGUAUACUUCUGCAUAAACAGUAUUUAGUA
rnacentral:misc_RNA from 1 species